rnacentral:rRNA from 1 species
AGCGAUUUCCCCCGGGGAAACUAGCAUAUCAAUAAGCGGAGGAAAAGAAACCAACAGGGAUUGCCCCCAGUAACGGCGAGUGAAGCGGCAAGAGCUCAAAUUUGAAAUCUGGCCUCCCCCCGGGGGCCCGAGUUGUAAUUUGCAGAGGAUGCUUCGGGUGCGGCCGCCGUCUAAGUUCCUUGGAACAGGACGUCAGAGAGGGUGAGAAUCCCGUCUUGGGCGGGCGGUCCGCGCCCGUGUGAAGCUCCUUCGACGAGUCGAGUUGUUUGGGAAUGCAGCUCUAAGCGGGUGGUAAAUUUCAUCUAAAGCUAAAUAUUGGCCGGAGACCGAUAGCGCACAAGUAGAGUGAUCGAAAGGUUAAAAGCACCUUGAAAAGGGAGUUAAACAGCACGUGAAAUUGUUGAAAGGGAAGCGCUUGCGGCCAGACUCGGGGGCGGGGUUCAGCGGGUGCUCGUCGCCCGUGUACUCCUCGUCUCCCGGGCCAGCAUCAGUUUCGACGGCCGGUCAAAGGCCCCCGGAAUGUGUCGUCUCUCGGGACGUCUUAUAGCCGGGGGUGCAAUGCGGCCCGUCGGGACUGAGGAACGCGCUCCGGCUCGGAUGCUGGCGUAAUGGCCGUAAGCGGCCCGUCUUGAAACACGGACCAAGGAGUCUAACAUCCACGCGAGUGUUCGGGUGUCAAACCCGUGCGCGCAGUGAAAGCGAACGGAGGUGGGAGCCUUAGGGCGCACCAUCGACCGAUCCUGAAGUCUUCGGAUGGAUUUGAGUAGGAGCGUGGCCGUUGGGACCCGAAAGAUGGUGAACUAUGCCUGAAUAGGGUGAAGCCAGAGGAAACUCUGGUGGAGGCUCGCAGCGGUUCUGACGUGCAAAUCGAUCGUCAAAUUUGGGCAUAGGGGCGAAAGACUAAUCGAACCAUCUAGUAGCUGGUCCUGCGCUUUCUCCCCCCCAAGAAAAAAGGA